rnacentral:rRNA from 1 species
ACGAACGCUGGCGGCAGGCCUAACACAUGCAAGUCGAGCGAACCCUUCGGGGUUAGCGGCGGACGGGUUAGUAACGCGUGGGAACGUGCCCAAAGGUACGGAAUAGCCUCGGGAAACUGAGAGUAAUACCGUAUGUGCCCCUCGGGGGAAAGAUUUAUCGCCUUUGGAUCGGCCCGCGUUGGAUUAGGUAGUUGGUGGGGUAAUGGCCUACCAAGCCGACGAUCCAUAGCUGGUUUGAGAGGGUGACCGGCCACACUGGAACUGAGACACGGUCCNNACUCCUACGGGAGGCAGCAGUGGGGAAUAUUGCGCAAUGGGGGGAACCCUGACGCAGCAACGCCGCGUGGAGGAAGAAGGUCUUCGGAUUGUAAACUCCUGUCUUCUGGGAAGAUAAUGACGGUACCAGAGGAGGAAGCCACGGCUAACUACGUGCCAGCAGCCGCGGUAAUACGGAGGAUGCGAGCGUUAUCCGGAUUUAUUGGGUUCAAAGGGUGCGUAGGCGGCCGAGUAAGUCAGCGGUGAAAUUUUGCAGCUUAACUGUAACAGUGCCGUUGAUACUGCAUGGCUAGGAUUUGGUUGCUGUGGGUGGAAUGUGUGGUGUAGCGGUGAAAUGCUUNGAUAUCACACAGAAUAUCAAUUGCGAAGGCAGCUCACAAAGCCAAGAUUGACGCUGAGGCACGAAAGUGUGGGGAUCAAACAGGAUUAGAUACCCUGGUAGUCCACACUGUAAACGAUGAUAACUCACUGCCGGCGAUACACAGUCGGUGGCCAAGCGAAAGCGAUAAGUUAUCCACCUGGGGAGUACGACCGCAAGGUUGAAACUCAAAGGAAUUGACGGGGGCCCGCACAAGCGGAGGAACAUGUGGUUUAAUUCGAUGAUACGCGAGGAACCUUACCCGGGCUCGAACGGUGCAUGAAUAAGCAAGAGAUUGUUUAGUCCUUCGGGACAUGUAUCGAGGUGCUGCAUGGUUGUCGUCAGCUCGUGCCGUGAGGUGUCGGCUUAAGUGCCAUAACGAGCGCAACCCUUGUUGUUAGUUACCAACAGGUAAAGCUGGGGACUCUAACGAGACUGCCACCGUAAGGUGUGAGGAAGGGGGGAUGACGUCAAAUCAGCACGGCCCUUAUGUCCGGGGCGACACACGUGUUACAAUGGGGGGUACAGAGGGCAGCCAUCCGGUGACGGAGCGCCAAUCUCCAAAACCCUUCUCAGUUCGGAUUGGAGUCUGCAACCCGACUCCAUGAAGUUGGAUUCGCUAGUAAUCGCGCAUCAGCCAUGGCGCGGUGAAUACGUUCCCGGGCCU